AGCAGUCGCCGCGGGAAUACAGAGGGUGCGAGCGUUAAUCGGAUUUACUGGGCGUAAAGCGUGCGUAGGCGGCUUUUUAAGUCGGAUGUGAAAUCCCUGAGCUUAACUUAGGAAUUGCAUUCGAUACUGGGAAGCUAGAGUAUGGGAGAGGAUGGUAGAAUUCCAGGUGUAGCGGUGAAAUGCGUAGAGAUCUGGAGGAAUACCGAUGGCGAAGGCAGCCAUCUGGCCUAAUACUGACGCUGAGGUACGAAAGCAUGGGGAGCAAACAGGAUUAGAUACCCCUGUAGUCCCUGUCUCUUAUAA
rnacentral:rRNA from 1 species